CUUGGUAUUGGAGACAUAGCAAGUUAAAAUUAGGGUGGAAAAUAAAAUUAAGAUCCCGCGCUCUUAUUCUUCACUGUACACCCCCGCGAAAAAAAAUUCUUCUCGUCUUCUUCAUUCCGCCAGCAACCCAAACUGCAGACACUCUCCCUCCCCAACUCCGGUCACUCAGCUUCACGAUCUCAUCAUCUCAGCUCCCUUCGGCAUCAACUCUCACUGUAACCUCUCUAGAAUCGCCUCCUUCUUCUUCAAAUUUCGGCAUCCUCGGCAAUCGCACGGGUUUGGGCAUAACAAAAGGCCAAUCGUAAAGGUGCGCUUGGGUUUAGAUAUUGGAAAAUCUGUUGGUUCGGUACAUAGAUUUGGAUUAAGAGAUUGAGUUCGUGUCAUACAGCAGCAAGACCUGUGAUAUUGGAGCCUGUUAUGCUGGCAAAUUUGUGAAGUGCAGUGUGAGCAGCCAAACAAUUCAUUAUACACUUUCACAGGCAAUCUCAUUUUUCAGAAGCAAACUAUACCUCUCACCCAAACCAACUCCUGCUGAGAGGAUGCAGUCUAAGGAACACUGAGUAUAUUGUUGGGGCUGUUAUGUUCUCAGGUCAUGAAACAAAGGUAAUGAUGAAUGCCAUGAAUGUUCCUUCCAAAAGAAGUACACUAGAGAGAAAACUUGACAAACUUAUACUUACACUUUUUGGAACCCUCUUUCUCAUGUGUCUCAUUGGAGCUAUUGGCAGCGGUGUAUUCAUCAAUCGCAAGUACUUCUACUUGGGUCUAAAUGAAGGUGUAUAAGAUCAGUUCAAUCCUCAAAAACAUUUUGUGGUUGCUAUUCUUACUAUGUUCACUCUUAUUACUCUAUAUUCAACCAUCAUUCCUAUAUCUCUUUAUUUUAAUUGAGAAUGAUUUAUAUAUCUCACAAGAAGAUAUAGUCCAUGUUGGCUUAAUGGAAGAGAUUGGAGCAUCAUGUGUAUCGUUAUAUAUCAGGAUUUUAUACUUCCAAUUAGUGAAAAGAGAGAUCAGUCACUUUUUUCGUUUUGUUGAGCUAAUGUGGUUAUCAAAUGUUGGAUCCACUGAAGAAGAACGAGUUGAAUGGGUAUCAAAGCGUAUGAUUGAUUCAAAUCCGGGUCAGAUGUGGUUGUUGCCAUAUCAUAAGGGAAAGCAUUGGAUGCUUAAAAUAAUUGAUUUUGAUCACCAAUUGUGCUAUUUCCUGGAUUCUCUUCACAAUUUUCCACCAAAUGAAAUCAAAUCUCUCAUUUCUCGUGUCUUUCAACAUUUACGCACAAUUAAUGCAAAAACUAAGGAAGUCGCGUGGAGAACAGUUAAGUGUCCUCGUCAACCAUUACAAUCAGUACAAUGUGGGUUCUAUGUUAUGAGGAUGAUGAAGGACUUCGUGACAAAUGAGUUUUCAAUGUGAUGGCUAACUAGUAACUGUGGCGGGAAGAACUAUUACACAAAGGAUGAGAUCAAUGAAGUACGUGAAGAAUGGGCACAAUGCGUUAUGGAUUUGAUGAGUACUACAUAGGUCCACCUACUUUUGUUAACUUAGACUUUUAAUGAGAUAUACUUACAAUGUUAACUUAAACUUUCUUGAAGAUAUACACACUUUUGUUGUCCAACUAUAGUUUACAAUGCUUAUAUGAGUCAUUUUGUAAUUAACUUAAGACUCGUUAUUUUAGAUACUUAGUUCAAAUUCUAGUAUUUUAUAUUAUUGUGAUAUAUGUUUUGUUUUGUUCA